UUUUACAAGACCUCACGUUUCACUCCUAUUAUGGAUUCGGCAGAUUUUACGAAUGAAUGAAAAUAAAUAAGUUAUCAAAAAGUACAAGAAGCGAAGAUAUAAAGUUAUACAAUCUUCAAUCUCUUUCCCUACACAAGACUAAUACAUAUUUCCGGUCGGGUCCCUGCGUCUAGAAAAUGCAAUCUUCUCGGUUCCCUGUGUCGGCAUAUCAAAGCUUCCAUACUGAAGACUAUUUACGCCUUCUCGAAACUCACGCUGCUGCUGUGCUGAGAAAACACGAGGCUUCUUCUCUGCCAAUUUAGGACCCAAACCACGAACUUUGCCGGGAAACAUUUUCGCGGCAUAGCGCGAAAAGGAGUGAAUACUUCUUAAAACCUGUUCAUCAUUUCUCCGCUCAAAUAAAUCAGAAGUUUGAAACAUAUCUUGUGAAGGAACAUGUACAACUUGCUGUGCAUAGUUAAUGAAGGCAGAUAUGUUUUCCAUUUGGACAAAAGGCAUGUUAGAUUCUUUGUAUCGAAUGUUAGCGCCUAAAGCUUCUUUGCAAAUUCUGCAAAGAAUCACCCCGGAUUGUAAUUGAUCCAGUAAGUCUAACUGAGCAUUCAAUUUCGUAUGCAAAGUUUCUUCGAUCCAUUCUCUUGCUUCUUUUUCAAGUUGAGACGUCAUUUCUCACGAAAAUUUAAAUAAAAAUAAAGAAAAGUUCCAAGAAAUUAUAUCACGGAACGCCCAAUGACAGUUUGGUUUUUCAGAGGUGGUUAGUGAAAAGCGGCUUCGUAUAAGCCUGACGAGUGCCAUCUUAAUUCAAUGUGUAGCAACUGGACUUAAUAGAUCAUUUAGCGUAACUCCAGCUACGCAAUUCGUAUCUGAGUUUAAGGUACAGUAGACUGCGUAAACUCUUUAUCAGCAAACUAACUCUUGUACGGUAAACUGAUGAUUUGUUCUUACUAAUUAGUACUAUAUAAAGUAGAGUCGAAUUACUUUGCUUCACAAUUCGUUUAUGGAAUGAAGACUUGUUUAUUUAAUUUCGAAAGCAUCAUUAUAUUACAAAAUACAAACCGACAAGGUACUGCAAACCGCUUUUUCGAUUGACACUGUGCAACUGACAUUGGACUGACCGGCUUUGCUUACUUAUAUCGUCAUAUAUAACAUGUUA